AGUAUCGUGGUAGACGCACGCGGUUCUUCACGAUUGUUGAUAGAAGUUAGUAGCUGAUUGAACAUAAAUAUAGUUGAACUACGGACCCGUGAACGAGUUCAGAGGAUCUCAUACCUUGAACAAAUUUACUGAAACAACGAUAGUGGAGAUAUUCCCGCGUCUACAAUGUUGGAGAAUCAAACUAAAACGAAAAACUGAACCAAGAGUUAAUCGGAUCACUCCAAAAUGGAUCAUUCUGUGAAGGCGAUGAACACACAUAGAAAGGUGGCAUUUUCCCGGCUGUUAAACAGAAGAAGAUUCGAGAAUGACGAACUGGAAACAUUGUAUCAACGAUAUAUCUUCAAGAUGCAGCAGUCUUCUAUUGUUAGUGUGUUGGCGUUAUUUAUUCUCCUAAGUGCUGUGCUUACAGUGUUGCAUUUUAUCUUUAUUCGUUCACCCACCUUCGCAAACCUCUAUUUUUUAAUACAUUGCAUCACUUUCAUUGGUCUGUUGAUAUUUUCAUACACAAAGUAUAUGAAAGAUAGCCAUCUGUUAGCAUUGUGUUAUGUUAUAAUGUUUUUCCUUGUAACUUUCUGCAUUGUAAACCUCCCCGUGAACGUUGGCUCUGAUGGCACAUGGGGUAUCGGCACGUGGGGAGAACGUCAAAGUUCGGCCGAUGGUGUCUGGGAGAUAGUGUUUGUUGUGUUUUUGGUUUACACCAUGCUUCCCUUAAAGAUGUGGGUGACAUUGGGCGUAGGAAUUAUAUUACCUGGUGCACAUUUUGGCACGAGUGCAGUAUUUGCGAAAGAAUUUCCGGGACUCCGGUGGGAACAGAUGGUUGCGAAUGGAGUAACUUUUCUUUGCGUUAAUAUGGUAGGCCUUUUUGUACACAGCUUAAUGGAGCAUGCGCAGAGGAAGGCUUUUCUCGACACUCGCAACUGUAUUAAUGCCCGUCUGGAGAUGGAAGAUGAGAAUGAAAAACUGGAACGGUUGCUUUUAAGUGUUUUACCACAACACGUUGCCAUGGAGAUGAAGGAAGACAUUAUUUCGCCAAGAGAGGGACAAUUUCAUAAGAUAUAUAUUCAACAAUAUGAGAACGUUAGUAUUCUUUUCGCUGACAUUGUUGGGUUCACAAUGUUGGCCUCCCAGUGUACAGCUCAAGAACUUGUUAUACUGUUGAACGAACUCUUUGGAAGAUUUGACCAACUAGCCAAUGAUAACCAUUGCCUUCGGAUUAAGAUUCUCGGGGACUGUUACUACUGUGUUAGCGGACUUCCCGAAUCUCGAGUAGAUCACGCCCUCUGUGCUGUUGAGAUGGGUUUGGACAUGAUAGAUGCUAUAGCGUUGGUUGUGGAAGCCACAGAUGUACAGUUGAACAUGAGAGUUGGUAUUCAUACAGGACGUGUACUGUGUGGGGUUCUGGGCCUGCGUAAGUGGCAGUAUGAUGUAUGGAGCAAUGAUGUGACACUGGCCAGUAACAUGGAAGCAGGCGGUGAGCCUGGACGUGUUCACAUCACUCAGGCCACGUUUGAUUUCCUUCAUGGAGAGUAUGAAGUUGAGCUUGGACGUGGGGCAGACAGGAACAUCUACUUGAGAGAAAAUAAUAUCAAAACAUACUUUAUUAUAUCACCUGCUCAACGAAGAAAGCCACUACUGUUCAAUACACUGCAAGUGCGACAUCUUGCUGGAUCAUCUCGUCGAAAACUCCCUUUCACAAAUGUAUCUAAUAUGGUAGUUCAACUUCUGCAGUCCAUGAAGUAUAGCAUGGAUGUUCCUUUCUCCAACUGGGCUGCUAUUCCAUCAACUGCUGAUAAACAAAACUCAAAGGUAAAAAUGGCAGAUAAGAUCAGGAAGCCUUUCAAGAAGAGGCACUCCUCAGUUUACCAUCAGCCAACAAAUCGAGUUAACAAGUACUUGGCCCAAGCCAUAGAGGCCAGAAGUGUAGACAUGGAAAAAGCUACUCAUGUCAGUGUAGUGACACUCUGUUUCAAAGAUAAACAGAAGGAAAGACAAAACUCUCAUUUUGAUAGUCCUGUUUGCUGUUGCUUUUCUUUGGAUAUCAGUACUGUUUGUAUUAUUAUUGGCUGCUCGAACAAAGUGUAUUUCAUGGGAUAUUAGCCGAGUAUUUCUCCUUCGACUUGCCAUGACAAUUUUUACUGUUGUUUUGGUAUAUUCUGUUGCUCAAGUCAAUGUGUUUUCCUGCUUCAACAAACCAGUUUGUGUUCCAUCGACAACAAAUAUCACACAGGCACCACUGAUGUCUGAUCAUCGAUCCUGUCCUUUACCACAAUACAUAUACA
rnacentral:misc_RNA from 1 species